CAGUUGCCCUUUACACACUGCGGAACCCAGAAGACGAACCCGUCAACGGCGUUCAAAUUGGAAAAUCAAAACCAUUCCCUUCCCUUGAAAAAUCAAAACCCAUUCUAUUCGAUUUCAGCCUUCUGCGAUUUCGUUCAGAUGUUGCUGCCAAUUUCGUUCUGCUGUUGCUUGCUGUGAUUUCGAUCCUACUACUGACUAUUCCCGUUGCUGCUAGCCACAACCGCCAGUCGGCUCCGCCACCAGUCUUCCACUGCUUCAUUCUUCAAAGUUCAAGCCUUGGCCCAAUGGUCAGUGAAAGUUCUGCUUUGUUG
rnacentral:lncRNA from 1 species